UACGUAGGGGGGCUAGCGUUGUCCGGAAUCAUUGGGCGUAAAGAGCGUGUAGGCGGCCAGAUAAGUCCGCUGUGAAAACUCGAGGCUCAACUUCGAGCUGUCGGUGGAAACUAUUUGGCUAGAGUCCGGAAGAGGAGAGUGGAAUUCCUGGUGUAGCGGUGAAAUGCGCAGAUAUCAGGAAGAACACUCGUGGCGAAGGCGGUUCUCUGGGACGGUACUGACGCUGAGACGCGAAAGCGUGGGGAGCGAACAGG
rnacentral:rRNA from 1 species